UACGUAGGGGGGCUAGCGUUGUCCGGAAUCAUUGGGCGUAAAGCGCGUGUAGGCGGCCCGGUAAGUCCGCUGUGAAAGUCGGGGGCUCAACCCUCGAAUGCCGGUGGAUACUGUCGGGCUAGAGUACGGAAGAGGCGAGUGGAAUUCCUGGUGUAGCGGUGAAAUGCGCAGAUAUCAGGAGGAACACCAAUUGCGAAGGCAGCUCGCUGGGACGUAACUGACGCUGAGACGCGAAAGCGUGGGGAGCAAACAGG
rnacentral:rRNA from 1 species